CAGGGUUUGCAGCGUUGGACCAAAGAGAAGAGUCCUCCGAAGGUCCUAGAAGGGCAAGCCGCGCAUUACCAUAGAGACCGCGGACUGGAAAGGCGCUAUCUGCAGUUCCGGGCUCAGCCCCUAGACUCUGAGGCCAGUAACCUAAAAUGGAGAGUGGAGCUUCUAAAUUUCACUGGUUUCUAAAGCCAUAUUGCCAAUGGACAAAAAAUGCAGAGCAGCUCUUGCCCCUUGGCUCAAAAUGUCAGUUACUGGGAGAAGGCAGUUAUUUUUGAUGGGGUUCACAGGGAUUUUGCUCCCUUGAGGAGGCCUAUCCUGAGCAGCAGGCCCUGGAUGUCUUACCUGGAGAGAGACGGUACUGGAUAUGGUUACGUGAUUCACUUAGUAGAGAGAUGGUCACAGGAGUGAUGGGAGAUGGAAAGCCAGAUCUGGAUGGAGAAGAAUGGGUAAGGGAAGGCCAGGGGAGAGAAACAGUGAAUGAUGUGAUUUUCUUAAUGGUUAAAGAAAAUACUGACAAAAUGCCUCAUUUGAGAUUCUCCCUUUACCGCUUUGUUAUUGACUGUAUUGAUGGUCUUUAAAGUUGCAUGCUUUUGUAGGAAA